ACCUUAGUUGUUUAUAGGACACUAAACAAUACAAAACCAACCCCCACACAGGGGAGGCCAUCCUUAAAUGACCUUAGUUGUUUAUAGGACACUAAACAAUACAAAACCAACCCCCACACAGGGGAGGCCAUCCUUAAAUGACCUUAGUUGUUUAUAGGACACUAAACAAAACAGAACCAAACCAAUUCUCAUAUCAUAUGUGAGAUAGUUUGUAUUUUGUACUGUUGAAAACUUUCAACUGAGGAAAAAAAACUUGAAAUCUCAGGUGGUCUGUAGGCAUUCCUUAAACGUAUAACCCCUGUAAGAGUUUGUUGGUACGAGGGAGUGAGAGAGUGUAAUUCUGACUACAUUAAUAAUUCAUGGAUGUGCUAUUUACGGUAAACUUUUUAAAUAUAGAUAAUGUACAAAUUUUAUUUUUGAUGCCCUGUCAUGAAGAGAUGUUUCAAUGAAAUGGUACUAAUAAACCAAGUGUGCGUUCUUUGUAAGUUUUGGGUGAAUCUCUACUAUGUUAUGUUUAUUUCGAUAUGUUCAGUGAAAUAUUGUUCUAUUUUCUCAGAUGGCUUCCAAAUUACGAAUCAAACUCUUUAAACAUCUCAGUGUGUGUCACUUUCUACUGCCAUAACUUGACAAAAUCUGGACCUGGUUGAAGGUAGUCACUAGUCAACUACAUGUUAGACGGAGACAAUUUUCUUCAUUGGAUUUAGAAUUUAUCUUAUGUUAAAGGAGAAAACUCCAGGAUCUUGACAUUUUUUUUUCUUUAUUUUUUUUACUGGAAAACAUUGUCCAAAAGCUGUUAGUUACAGGAGAUGCCCAUAUUUAUUUAUUGAAUCAAGGUACAAGUGGAAAAAUCCUGUCAGUAACUCAUCAGAUGUAUUUGACGUUGGAGGUCUGUCAGAUGUAUUUGACGUUGGAGGUCUGUCAGAUGUAUUUGACGUUGGAGGUCUGUCAGAUGUAUUUGACGUUGGAGGUCUGUCAGAUGUAUUUGACGUUGGAGAUCUGUCAGAUGUAUUUGACGUUGGAGAUCUGUCAGAUGUAUUUGACGUUGGAGGUCUGUCAGAUGUAUUUGACGUUGGAGAUCUGUCAGAUGUAUUUGACGUUGGAGGUCUGUAUCAUUGGAAUUUGAUCUGUUUUAUUCUAUAGUGUCGUUUUAUAUAUCAUAUUAUUUUUAGUGGUUUUGUGUUUUUGAGAAACGUAUUGUACAAAUAUAUAUAUAAAAAAUAACGUGUAUGACGAGUUCCAUAUCAUGGAUAUAUGUACCAGACUAAUGGAUAAUACCCGUACCACCACUACCACUUAAUAAAGAUUGAGUACAGUGUAAAACUGGUCUGUGUAUCCAUGGUAAUCCUGUAUUAUAAGAGAUAUGAUGAUCCUCUUCAUAUUCACACUGUUACUUUUCAAAGUAUCUGUUCAGUUUGUAUAUGGACAUGAAGUAUGCAAUUGAAACCAAUUUCUGUAUAAUUGAAUGCAAUGCAAAUUAAAAUGAUUUUGUAAAUAAAUUGUUUCUGUAAUAAGUGUCUUUAUGUGUUACUUUUCAAAAAGAAAACGUAUUUAGAACACAAUUACGGUUUAAUUUUCCCUGCAUCACUGAGAAAUGUAUUAAUUAGGACAAGUAAUUAAGUAAUGGAACUUUGUCAUUCUACACUAGUGGGACUAGAAAACAGAACUACCAAAUUUUACUUAUUGAUUUUCUUAAUACAUAUUUUUAGUCUGUCAAGCUACAUUAGUGAUGAAUGACCUUGACAAAGCCUCAAUGCUUUCGCUAUAGUUUUUGGACCAAUUUUAUUUGGUCUUUAUUGUUUUCGUUUCUUGUUAUAUCAAAUUUGUUUGUGAAAUUAAACAAUAAUUUAUGUCAGGUCAUCGCAUUGUUAUUGAUUAUAUGUAAUCAUAUAUGACUUGAUGAAAUACAAUUUUUAAUUAGUUUUUUGAAGACUUGUAGCCUUGCUUGAGUAUUUGGUGGAGAGAAGUUUGAAUGAGAGGUGAACAGCAUGAGAGAUAUACAUUUAGUUUGUGGAUAAAUUUAUUUUGUGUGAUUAAAAAAAAAAAAGAAAAAAAA